rnacentral:rRNA from 1 species
CAGCAGCCGCGGUAAAACGAAGGGUGCAAGCGUUACUCGGAAUUACUGGGCGUAAAGCGUGCGUAGGUGGUGGUUUAAGUCCGUUGUGAAAGCCCUGGGCUCAACCUGGGAAUCUCAGUGGAUACUGGGUCACUAGAGUGUGGUAGAGGAUAGUGGAAUUUCCGGUGUAGCAGUGAAAUGCGUAGAGAUCGGAAGGAACAUCUGUGGCGAAGGCGACUAUCUGGGCCAACACUGACACUGAGGCACGAAAGCGUGGGGAGCAAACAGGAUUAGAUACCCCAGUAGUCCCUGUCUCUUAUAC